rnacentral:rRNA from 1 species
GAAUUUUGGACAAUGGGCGAAAGCCUGAUCCAGCAAUGCCGCGUGAAGGAUGAAGGCCUUCGGGUUGUAAACUGCUUUUGUACGGAACGAAAAGCUUUGGGUGAAUACCCUGGAGGCAUGACGGUACCGUAAGAAUAAGCACCGGCUAACUACGGGACAGCAGCCGCUGUAAGACGUAGGGUGCAAGCGUUAAACGGAAUUACUGGGCGGAAAGCGUGCGCAGGCGGUUUUGUAAGACAGAGGUGAAAUCCCCUGGCUCAACCUGGGAACUGCCUUUGUGACUGCAAGGCUAGAGUAAGGCAGAGGGGGGUGGGAUUCCGCGUGUAGCAGUGAAAUGCGUAGAUAUGCGGAGGAACACCGAUGGCGAAGGCAACCCCCUGGGCCUGUACUGACGCUCAUGCACGAAAGCGUGGGGAGCAAACAG